GGGGAUAUGGUUUAGUGGUAUAACAUCUUCUUAGCAAGCACUGCAAUGGAGAAGGUCUGGGGUUCGAUUCCCCAUAUCUCCA
rnacentral:tRNA from 1 species